UACGUAGGGGGCAAGCGUUGUCCGGAUUUAUUGGGCGUAAAGAGCGUGUAGGCGCCUUGCAAGUCCGUUGUGAAAACUCGAGCUCAACCUCGAGACGCCGGUGGAAACUGCAAAGCUAGAGUCCGGAAGAGGAGAGUGGAAUUCCUGGUGUAGCGGUGAAAUGCGCAGAUAUCAGGAGGAACACCCGUGGCGAAAGCGGCUCUCUGGGAACGGUACUGACGGCUGAGACGCGAAAGCGUGGGGAGCAAACAGGAUUAAGAUACCCGGAGU
rnacentral:rRNA from 1 species